UAUUAUACUAAUAAAAUGUAUAUUACUCAGAUUAUUAGCAGUUAUGUUCUUGAAAUUCGAAGAAUUUGGCGGUGAUUUAGUCUUGUUAGAGGAACCUGUUUUUAAAUCGAUACACCACGUAAAAUCUUACUCAUUUUAGUAAUAAGUUUAUAUACCGUCAUUAUCAGAUGAUUUUCUAAGAAUAAAUUAUUAAGUUUUUAUCAAAAAAGUUAAAUUAGAUCAAGGUGUAGCUAAUAAAUGAGUUAAAAUGGGUUACAAUAAAAUUUAUUUAAUACGAAAUAAUUAAAGAAAGAAGAAUUAUGAAGGAGGAUUUAAUUGUAAUUAAAGUAUAAUAAGCUUUAAAGAUAUAAGCUCU
rnacentral:rRNA from 1 species